ACUCAAUAGAUACCCAGGUAGUCCACGCCCUAAACGAUGUCGACUGGUUGUUGGGGGUUUGACACUCUCAGUAAACGAAAGCUAAACGCGUGAAGUCGACCGCCGGGGGAGUACGGCCGCAAGGUUAAAACUCAAAGGAAUUGACGGGGACCCGCACAAGCGGUGGAUUAUGUGGAUUAAUUCGAUGCAACGCGAAAAACCUUACCUACCCUUGACAUGUCCGGAAGGCUGCUGAAAGGCGGCUGUGCCCGAAAGGGAACUGGAACACAGGUGCUGCAUGGCUGUCGUCAGCUCGUGUCGUGAGAUGUUGGGUUAAGUCCCGCAACGAGCGCAACCCUUGUCAUUAGUUGCUACCCGCAAGGGAGCACUCUAAUGAGACUGCCGGUGACAAACCGGAGGAAGGUGGGGAUGACGUCAAGUCCUCAUGGCCCUUAUGGGUAGGGCUUCACACGUAAUACAAUGGCGCGUACAGAGGGUUGCCAAGGAGCGAUCUGGAGCCAAUCCCGUAAAGCGCGUCGUAGUCCGGAUUGCAGUCUGCAACUCG
rnacentral:rRNA from 1 species